rnacentral:rRNA from 1 species
UUCUAUGGCCACAGACCUGAACACACCCAAUCUUGUCUGUUCUUGGAAGCUAAGCCGAGUCAGACCUAGUUAGUACUUGGAUGGUAAUUUCUUUUACAUUAAAAUGACACCAAGAUGGAAAAUCAGGGCUGGAGAUG